AGACCAUGAUGAGGACAUUUUCUUAAUAGCUCCUUGAAUCUUUUCCAAGUUUCAUAUAAGGGCGUUAGGAGUGGUUAAACACUUGAGAGUGGCAAACUAAAAAAUCAACCAAUGAGAGU
rnacentral:snoRNA from 2 species